AAAAAAGAAAACAGAAAAUAAAAAAAAUUAAAACGAUUAAUUGGAAAAAAAGAGCAAUAUUAAAAAAUUUCUGUUCAAAUUAAUACCAACGGGAAAAUCGGUCUUCCUCCCAUUAUCUGGACCAACUGUGGGCAUUAUGAUCGGGAUCUGGUGGACCCGGGACCUGACUCCGCCCUCACCCCGUCGCUUACUCGCAGUGAUGCCCGGGGAAAAUCGGUCUUCCUCCCAUUAUCUGGACCAACUGUGGGCAUUAUGAUCGGGAUCUGGUGGGCCCGGGACCUAACUCCGCCCUCACCCCGUCGCCUACUCGCAGUGACACCCCGGGUAUUAUUUUUGUCGGCUGAAUUUCUAGGCAAUGUUAUUUGAAAAUACUGUUUAAAAAAUUUUAAUUUCAAUUAAAAUUUUAAGUAGUAGUUUCAACAAUAACACUGAAUAGCAAUUCAGUUUACAAUAAAAAUAGAAAGAAGAAAAAGAAUGCAACAUAAGGACAUAAUUGCACGAUGGAGCUGCGUAGCGUUUGUAAUGUUGAAAAAAAUCAGACAGACCAAACCAGGAAGGAUACUCUAGGAGGACCAUAAAACUGCAAAGAAGAAAAAGAAUGCAACAUAAGGACAUAAUUGCACAAUGGAGCUGCAUAGCGUUUGUACCACCACUGGAAAUGUUGAAAAAAAUCAGACAGGCCAAACCAGGAAGGAUAGUCUAGGAGGACCAUAAAACUGCGAUUCACCUGGGUGCAGUUCAAAGAUGAAAAGUGGAAAGUCUCUCAAACUUCGUCUCCUAAUGGAGUCACUAAGCAGCAACUUUACAGGUCAACUGCUCAGAUGGAAGCUUGGAAGCUCUCCAGAAGAAAAUUUACGGACUAUUGAAAUUAUUUUAUUAAAUAAACAGGACAUUUAAAUAAUUA
rnacentral:misc_RNA from 1 species